AAAGAGCAAAAGAAGAAGAAGUUGUGAUGGCUUCCUCUAUGCUCUCCUCUGCCGCUGUGGUUACCUCCCCAGCUCAAGCCACCAUGGUCGCUCCAUUCACCGGCUUGAAGUCAUCCGCUACUUUCCCCGUCACCCGCAAGGCCAACAACGACAUUACUUCUAUCUCAAGCAACGGCGGAAGAGUUAGCUGCAUGAAGGUAAUGUCCUAUAAAAACUGUAUUUUGUCAUGUGUAAUUAGUGAAAUUGAACAAAACUUAGAAUAAUUGGAAUUGGGAGUUAUAGGUGUGGCCACCAAUUGGAAAGAAGAAGUUUGAGACUCUAUCUUACCUCCCUGACCUUACUGACGUCGAAUUGGCUAAGGAAGUUGACUACCUUCUCCGCAACAAGUGGAUUCCUUGUGUUGAAUUCGAGUUAGAGGUAAUAAACACUGGACCUUUCGUUUGUCUCUAAUCAUUAUAUAUUAUUUUCUUACAUAGCUAAAAACCAAAGUCAAUAAGCUUAUUUUCGUUUGUCUCUAAUCAUUGUUCAUUGAAUGGAUUUCGUAUUCAUUUAUAGCAUGGAUUUGUGUACCGUGAGCAUGGAAACACACCUGGAUACUACGAUGGACGGUACUGGACAAUGUGGAAGCUUCCAUUGUUCGGAUGCACCGACUCCGCUCAAGUGUUGAAGGAAGUGCAAGAGUGCAAGAAGGAGUACCCUAACGCCUUCAUUAGGAUCAUCGGAUUUGACAACAACCGUCAAGUCCAGUGCAUCAGUUUCAUUGCCUACAAGCCCCCAAGCUUCACUGAUUCUUAAUUAAAUCCUUUCUGGAAUAUUCAAUGUUGACUAUCCGGAACAAUUUUGUAUGGUCAAUGUAAAUUUAAGUAACUAUUAUCUAGCCAACUUAAACGUUGAGCAAUUGUUUUGCGAAAAGUGAAAAAGUUGAAGGUUUAUUUUCUAUCAUUUCCUCUAUAAUUAUAUCUAUUCAUAUCAUUUCAUUUUUGAUCUUAUCACUUUGAACUCUUUCAUCUUCGAUUUAGCUCUUUUAAGCAACAUUUUAUUUCCUUUACAUUUCCCUCCUAAUUUUUGCUUUUGAUUCUCUAGACUAACCUAUAAUAGAAGAGAGACCUUUUUAGAUACCUUUUUGGAAAAACUUUGCACAUGAAAUCAUAACAAAGAUGCCUCAAUAAAUCAAAUCUCGAAAGGGCCAGUACCUUGUGACUUAGAUGGAUGGGCUAGGACGAUCUCGCUUUCGAAAAAAAGAUUUAUUUGAUUUUGCUGUGGGUGGAGCAAUGUUGACUACCUCCGCACUAUUUUCUUGAACGGUUUUGGCUAUUUUGUACCUUGUACGCGCUUCUGCUCACGGGAAAUUUGUGAGCUUUAAGUUGGUAUUGUGGAUCCAUGACCAUAGCUUCUUCCUGUGGCCUUAGGGAGAGUUCUUGCCUCGGUUCCACACCGUCCAUUGAAGUGUGCUAUGAAAAUUCCCCACAAUCUGUCAUGUCUUCCAUGCUUAAGUUGACAUGGUGGAAAUCAUCUUGAGGUGCCACAUUUUAAGUGGGCCGUACGUGCAAUGGUGUGGUGCUCCGAAAGGAACGGUAGCAUGGGUUCCUAUAGCAUUGGAUCGUUUUCUAAACAAUAUGCAUUAUGUGUUUAUAAAUUUUAGUAAUUGUACAUACAUGUCCCAGUUUAAAAACAGAUUAACAUACAUUAUAAUUUUAAGGGCUGCCUAUAGCGUUACACCUAUACUAUAGCGUUUCAACUCCUAUCCACCUGUACUUUCGACCUCUGCCCAAUUCACCUUAUACUUGUUUUAAACUUCCUAAUUCCACCUAAACUAUUAAAUUCUCCAUAAUUAACCAAAAUCAAGAACUCUCUAUAAUUGCGAUUAAAAAUCGUUCAAAUCGCGUUUACUGUAGGCCAACCCGAGUCAGAUCCGACCAGCUUCGAAGACUUCUUUCACCAUAAGGGUUUGACUCGUGUUCAUUUGUUUUGUCGGGUCAACCUCGGAUUAAUAUAAACACAUAUUUUUUUACUGCAAUUUGAACUAUUUUUAAUCGUAAUUAUAGAGAGUUGGGCAGAUGUCGAAAGUACAUGUGGAUAGGAGUUGAAACGAUAUAUAUAGUAUAGUUGUAACGCUAUAGGCAGCCCUAAUUUUAAUAAGAAUGAUAUAAACUCAACUAAACUUCCUCUUCUUAGUUUGAAACUUUGCAUGACCAUUAACUCUCUUAUACUGCAUAAGACAUAAUUAGUGACAUAUUUUUUUCUUUCUAUUAUCAAUAUUUUCGUUAGCAUGUACUCGUUGUAAGAUGAAUAGAGAAAUAAUUGAAUUAUGAAAUAACGAAAUCAAUGUAUAUAUAUAUAAAACAAAAACAAUUUUACGCUGAACAAUUUUUUUUUAAAAAAAGGCAAAAAAAUUGCUUGUUUCAUAUUAUAGGAUGUUUUGGACCUUUUUUUUUGUUUCACAAUAUAUAAUGCUUUGAAGAAAAAAUACAAGUUUCUAUGUAAAACAUUAAAUUUAAUAGAUUAUUGACUAUUUACAUUAUGCAGUAAAUUAUAUCACUGAUUAAAUUAUUUUUAAUAGAUAUUAAUUUUUGUUUUAAUGUUAAAAACUCAAGAUUAGUUAAUUUCUUAAACUUUGUGCUUUCAUCUUUUUUUUUAUCUUUUUUUUUUGUCAUCCGAAAUUAAUUAUACCUCAAAAGAGAGAGUAUUAUUUGAAACAAAGAGAGUAUUAUUUAGCAGAUAAAUGACUUUUAUCUGAUUUAAUUAUAAUUUUAAAAUGUGCGGGAUGAAUUAAAAGAUCAUUUAUCAUUUUUCACGUUUUGUUUUUUUCCAGUUAGGUUUUUGUGAAUGGUUUUUACUCAGCGUAAUCAUGUUUUAAGAACAAGAACGUGAGAAAGUUAACAAAAUACCGUUGCAAGACUUUAUUUUUGUUUUACACAAAAUGUAGUUUUAUAUUUUCAAAGUAGUUUUUUUUAAUAGAAUUUACUUAUAUUCUUUUUAGUUAAGAUAAUCAAAUGGGAAAAUAAAAAUAUUAAUGUGUUAAUACAAGAUAAUAGAAAUUUAAUCAUUUUAAUAUAUAUGUAAAAAGUAUUCAACCGAUAUUUACAAUUAGACAGAACUAAGAAGUAUUAAAUUUCUCACCUCACCUCCCAAAAGAAAGGAGCCAAAAGCAACCGAUCAAGUGGAGACCAGUACUAGCCAUACACAUUCACUCGUUCCCUUACAAGAGAAAGAUAAGAUUAUGGAGUUUUCUGCCACUUGGUCUUAUCCUAGUGGUCCGAAUUGAUAAGGGUUUCAACACCUUUCCUUAAUCCUGUGGCAAUUAACGACGUUAUCAUGAAUUAUGGCCACUUUGAUCAUUAGGGCUUUUUGCCUUGCAGUUCUCACUAUAUAAAGAUGACCAAAUCAAUCGACAAACAAGUAAAAGAAACAACAAGAAGUAGUGAUGGCUUCAUCUAUGCUCUCCUCUGCCGCUAUGGUUACCUCCCCAGCUCAAGCCACCAUGGUCGCUCCAUUCACCGGCUUGAAGUCAUCCGCUGCUUUCCCGGUCACCCGCAAGGCCAACAACGACAUUACUUCUAUCUCAAGCAACGGCGGAAGAGUUAGCUGCAUGAAGGUAAUGUCCUAUAAAAACUGUAUUUUGUCAUGUGUAAUUAGUGAAAUUGAACAAAACUUAGAAUAAUUGGAAUUGGGAGUUAUAGGUGUGGCCACCAAUUGGAAAGAAGAAGUUUGAGACUCUAUCUUACCUCCCUGACCUUACUGACGUCGAAUUGGCUAAGGAAGUUGACUACCUUCUCCGCAACAAGUGGAUUCCUUGUGUUGAAUUCGAGUUAGAGGUACUAAACACCGAACUUUUCCUUUGUCUCUAAUCAUCCUUUAUUAUUUCUGUUCAUUGGUAGAAACAUAAGUCAAUAACCGGAUUUUAAAACCCGAAAUAGACUAUAACCGUGUGACUCCUCGACUAUCAAUGGUAUUGAAUGGUUUUGUCAUCUGUUUAUAGCACGGAUUUGUGUACCGUGAGCACGGAAACACUCCCGGAUACUACGAUGGACGGUACUGGACAAUGUGGAAGCUUCCAUUGUUCGGAUGCACCGAUUCUGCUCAAGUGUUGAAGGAAGUGCAAGAAUGCAAGAAGGAGUACCCUAAUGCCUUCAUUAGGAUCAUCGGAUUCGACAACAACCGUCAAGUCCAAUGCAUCAGUUUCAUUGCCUACAAGCCCCCAAGCUUCACCGAUGCUUAAUUCCCUUUCUGGAAUGUUCAACGUUGACUAGUAUUUCGGAAUCCAAUUCUAUGUGGUCAAUGCAAAUUUAAGAAAUUAAUUAGCCGACUUAAAAGUUGAGGAAUUAUUGUGUGAAAGUGAAAAAUUUGAAGGUUUUUUCUAUCAAUUUCCUUAUAAUUAUAUUUACUCAUUUGAUUUCAUUUUUUUUCUUCUAGCUCUUUGAGCUCUAUUUUUCGUUUAGCUCCUUUUGACAACAUUCCGGUUCAUUUAAAUUCUCCUCAUUAUUCUUGCUUUUGAGAAAUUGGCUACAUUGUUUCGAGAAAUUUUGCACAUGAAAGCAUAACAAAGAUGCCUCAAUUUAUCAAACCUCGAUGAUUUAGAACAAAAGAUUAUUUAAGGGGGUGUAACCUUUUAAGAUGAAAUAGCCAUUGGAGAUAGCAAAAGGUAGUAAAAGACGUAUACACUAUAAACAAAAUCCAAAUGUAUGCUUUUAAAAUUAUAAACAUGUAUUCCAAACGCCUAAGUGGAAUAUUCAGUUUAAUUCAAGUCCAAGAAAUGGCAUUAUAUAAAGCAAGGAUCGACAAAGACUGAAAUUUGUCUAGCAUGAAGUUACUAAAUUUUGGAAAUUGUGUUCACGUUAAAAGCUGAAACUUAACAGUUAUUUAUAAGGAAAAGCAGUUAAUGUUCCCAAAAAGUUCUAAAUGAAACUAGAAACCAAAUGAUAAAGAAAACGUAGCAUCUACAUGUUUGGUUUUAGUUUUUUUUUUUUUGACAAAAAUAUUCAAAUGUUUUUAGAUUCUUCUAUGCAAACGAUAUAUAGAAAAUAUAUACAUGAUUCAAAUAUAAUACAAAUAAAAAUAAUUAUUGAAAUUACCGAACAUUUUUUUGCAUCUCCCUGAUUUACUUCCCACAUUUUCGUUUCAAAUAAAAUUCAAGAAAAAGAAAGACGACGAAAAAAAAUGACUUAAAAAGACAAGGGACAGAAGCUGGUAACUUAGAUGGAUGGGUUAGGACUAUCUCACUUUCGAAAAAUGUUUAUUUGGUUGAGGUGCGGAGUGGAGUGGAGCUUGUGAUUCUUUGCCCUAUAUGAGAGUUUUUUCGUGACCAAUUAUGGUGAUUGUGUACUUUGUAUACAUGUUUCUUCUCAUAUGGUUGAAAUGGGGGCAUUUGUGAGCUUUAAGGUGGCAGUCUUGAUCCACGACCAUAGCUUUACAUGACUUUAAGGUGAGUUCUUGCCUUGGUUCUACACCGUUGAUUGAAAUGAAUUAUGAAAAUUCCUCAUGAUCCGCCAUUUUUACAUGCUAAGUUUUUUUUUUUUGAAAAAUGCAUGCUUAAGUUGAAACGGUGGUUAUCAACUUGAGGUGCCAUAUUUGUGAUUAAGUGGGCCGUAAGUGCAACGGCGUGGUACUCAAAGAGGAACGGUGGGGUGGGUUUCACAUCGUGAUUGUGAUGUGAGUAUGUAUGUGACCAGAGUCCAGGGCCGGCUCAAAAUUAUUCGAGACCUUGUGCUGAUGUAUAAAAAUUGGUUUUUAAAUAAUAUAGUGAAAAUUUUGGACCCUCAAUCUUAGAGGAAAUUGAAAUUUUUUUUUGAGGACCCUGUGCUUUUGCUCCUCUAGCACACCCUUAGAGCUGGCACUGCCAGAGUCACAAGAUAAUCGUGAGCUGGUCUUACUUGUUGAUCGAGAGGCAGCAUUAACUCAUAUAGAAGAAACCAUGGACCUCCGACCUUGGGAGGUUUUCUUGGAAAUUCUUCCAUGAUGGAAGCUUACCGCAUGAGCAUGAUACAGGUAGAUGCAUGAUGGUUUCGGUUGUUUGCUCGAUCGCUUUCUACCACAAACAUAUCUUGCAUCUAAUUGUUGUUGCCUUGUUGGUUCUCAAAUAUUUACUCUCGAAACAGUAAGAUGUUGUUAGCCAUACGUAAAUCAGAAAUAAAAGUAUAGUUGGCUAAAACUGCAGUGAGUAUAGAAUUAACCGAUAUCAAUUUAUUCAAAUUUCCGUCUCUCUUUUCUUUUGUUGGCUAAUAUAUUAUCAUUUGAAGAUAAUAUAUAGUUUUUCCAAGAAAAGAAUAUUGACAAUUUUUUUGUGGUAAGUGAUUUUAAGAAUGACUCCAGAAUCGACAGGUUACCCAGACAAUAUUUAUCAUGGAUAAACCUAUCGAAAAAUCUUAAAAAUCAGUAUUAAUAAAACGGAAGUAGUAAUGAACUUCUAAGCUAUGCAUUACAAUACAUUUAUCUCAAUGUCGAAUUUAAAUAAUUUUCUUAGAACUCCUUUUUUAAUGCGACCUUAUUCACCAAAUCAAGUGAAGCCAAAUUAAAUCAUGCAUGGUAAAUAAAAUAUCCAAAAGCAUUAAAUUUAAGGUAAUGCGUCUGAUUUCUUUCCUCCCAAACGAAAGGAGCCAAAAGCAACCGAUCAAGUGGAAACCAAUAACCACACAUUCACUUCGUUUCCCCCACAAGAGAAGAUAAGAUAAUGGAGUUUUCUGCCACGUGGCAUUAUCCUAGUGGUCCGUACCGAUAAGGGUGUCAACACCUUUCCUUAAUCCUGUGGCAGUAAACGACGUUAUCAUGAAUUAUGGACCCUUUGAUCAUGAGGGGCUUUUUUCCUGUUGCGGUUCUCACUAUAUAAAGAUGACAAAACCAGUAGACAAACAAGUAAGUAAGAGAAAAGAGCAAAAGAAGAAGAGAAACAACAAGAAGUAGUAAUGGCUUCCUCUAUGCUCUCCUCGGCCGCUGUGGUUACCUCCCCGGCUCAAGCCACCAUGGUCGCUCCAUUCUCCGGCUUGAAGUCAUCCGCUGCUUUCCCGGUCACCCGCAAGGCCAACAACGACAUUACUUCCAUCGCAAGCAACGGGGGAAGAGUUAGCUGCAUGAAGGUAAAGUAAAGUCAUUAAUGAAAGAUGUCUUUUGUCAUGGCAAUUAGUGUAAUUGAACAAAACAUAGAAUAAUUGGAAUUGGAUUCGGGAAUUAUAGGUAUGGCCACCAAUCGGAAAGAAGAAGUUUGAGACUUUAUCUUAC
rnacentral:lncRNA from 1 species